rnacentral:rRNA from 1 species
GAUGAACGCUGGCGGCGUGCCUAAUACAUGCAAGUCGAGCGAACGGACGAGAAGCUUGCUUUUCUGAUGUUAGCGGCGGACGGGUGAGUAACACGUGGAUAACCUACCUAUAAGACUGGGAUAACUUCGGGAAACCGGAGCUAAUACCGGAUAAUAUUUUGAACCGCAUGGUUCAAAAGUGAAAGACGGUCUUUCUGUCACUUAUAGAUGGAUCCGCGCUGCAUUAGCUAGUUGGUAAGGUAACAGCUUACCAAGGCAACGAUGCAUAGCCGACCUGAGAGGGUGAUCGGCCACACUGGAACUGAGACACGGUCCAGACUCCUACGGGAGGCAGCAGUAGGGAAUCUUCCGCAAUGGGCGAAAGCCUGACGGAGCAACGCCGCGUGAGAGAUGAAGGUCUUCGGAUCGUAAAACUCUGUUAUUAGGGAAGAACAUAUGUGUAAGUAACUGUGCACAUCUUGACGGUACCUAAUAAGAAAGCCACGGCUAACUACGUG